GGGGAUGUUGUAGGUGGUCAUUAGAUUUCCUUGAUUCGGAGGGGUCGGGCGAUCAAGGCCGGGACGGCGAUCACGUCGCCGCAUUCGCG
rnacentral:tRNA from 1 species